rnacentral:lncRNA from 1 species
GUCAUAUGAUAGAUUCAAUUAGCUCGAGUCCAUAUAUAAUUUUCAUGAAAAUAUUUUUUCAUUAAUCACACUGCUAUGGCCAUAGACUUAAGGACUCAGCUUCGUAAAUCUCAUAGGACUAUUUCUUUCUGCUAGGGUCGAUAGAUUCUAUUUAGGUGUGCACCCUACUCCUACAGUAGAUCAACUGUCACCAACAUCCACUACAAAGACUCAUUAAGUCAAUAUUUAUGUGUAGUCAAACUCCAGCAGCCUCACUAC